AUCCGGCCUACUUAAUGACUCAAGCCUGUCUCUUUCCCCAUGUAGGCCCCCUUCGCAGUGAGAAUGGGAAAAGUGGCCAUUGACAAAGGAAUGGAGGUGGACAUCGCAUCUGGAAUGGCCAUUGAAGGAAUGUGUUAUGCCCAGAACAUCCCAACCCGGGACAGGCUGGAGGGCAUGGCAGCCUUCCGGGAGAAGCGGCCACCCCGCUUUGUUGGCGAGUGACUCUGAUGGUGUUGUUGUGGGGGAGGGGGCUGUCCCCCUCCCUGCAGCUUUGGCUCCCGCAGGCAGGAGCACCUACUACAAGUCAGGUCUUAGAAGCACGUCCUCUGUUCUUCCAUAAAGUCCUUCACCUUGGUCAGUAACUACUGUGAUUUCUGUUUCCUCUGUGUCAUGGCCUUGCUGCUCUGGCACUGGGGCCCGUUGGCCUUCUGCCAUCCCAGACACACAGGGUGCAUCCAUCAGGAUCUCUCAUCCACCACACCCCUCAGGCUACAUGUCUUACAGGUGUGGAAAGACCUCAGGAGGCAGGAGAGACUCGGGGGCCCCUCUCCAGGUUUCAUUCUCUCUCUCCAUAAAGCAGGGGAUUAAACUAAGGUUCAGUCUAACAAUUGAGCUAACGAUAAUAACUGGCAUUUAUAUGGGACUUCUAUGAUAUGAGCUCAUGAUCCUCACAACAGUCCUGGGAGAUGCUACUAUUAUCCCCACUUUACCGAUGAAGAAACUGAGGCCCAGAGAGAUUAAGGAACUUGCUAACAAGUGUCUGAAGUAGGAUUCAAACACUGUGGCCUACAACCUAGCUGUCUUCUACUGACAGAUAGACAGACACCUACAAGGCUGGGGACUUAGGGCUGACAUUUUCUGGCCCAGACCCGGGCUCUCUCCUCCUGUACCGGGGGCAGCUUUCUCAGCUUUCCUGGCCAUGACCUACAAAAGCCACCUCCAUGCUCUUGGCCACGGGUCCCAGAAAUGACCUGACAGUAUGCUCUUCAUGGUGCUUCCACCCCCAUCCCCUAGCUGGCAUGGUUGCCUGACCACCCUGGGCACCCAGAAAAUAUGAAAACUGGGCCGUAUGGGCAGUGCCCGCCUUGUGGAUAGUGCCUGGAGUCCAGGGGGGCCUUGUAGACCAACUAGCACAACACUCAUUCUGGGAGCCCCAAGGGGGUGAACAACAGAACGGCAGAGGCAGCAUCAGGCGUCCCUUCCUGCCCUCCCAGGUCUCAUGGGAGCCCCAUAAACAACUCUGUGAGGCAGAUGCCACAGGAACUGUUAACUGACACUGGGUGUCACUGGGACCCCACUGGGACCACUGCCGAAGCUGCUGGGGGGCCUGCCUCCCUCAUCUCUCCCCAGCCCCAUCCAGUCCAUCCAUCUCCCUCAGCUAUCAUGAUGAUCUUCCAAAGCA